UUAUAAAAAUAACUUUUAAAAUGUGCUGAAAUUCUGUAUAAAAUCUGCUGUUACCUGUAAUGUAGAUAAAAAGUAAAAUAAGAUCAUGGAAAAGAGUAAAACGUUGACUUUAAUUAGUAUUUUGUCAUUUAAAGAACAGAACAACAUAGAACAUAACCGAUAAUAAUCAUCCUGCAAUAUAGAAGUACAUUUAGAAAUAAAUACUCUAUUUUAGGAGUUGUUAAAUACUUGUGCAUAUUAUGGGUAUAUAAAAUGGGGAAUUUAUGGACAAUGUAUUGCUAUCCAGUUCUCAACUACAGCAGUUGAAGUGCUUCCAUUAUAAAUAUUGCUUGUUAUUGAAAGAUUUGGUAUUUUGAUGAGAUUUUUCAUAUUGAUAUGUGAAAUGAGAUGCAAUGCAAGAAAUCUUUUGUUCAAAGAAUAUCAGCUUUACAAAUAUUGCAGUUGUUUAGAGAAAACAUUGAAAUACUGGCAACUGAGCCUGCGGUUAUUUAAUCGAACAAGCUGUGGCAGUACAUUUUUAACCAGGAGAAAAUCUAGUGCAAAUAUAUGUGUGUGUGUGUUUGUUUGUUUUAAAAUGUUGCCAUUUAAGGCAAAUACAGUAAAAAUUCCGUUAACCGAAAUGUCUUGACAGUUUAAAUAAUUUUGUCAAUAAAAAGUAAAUUAAACAGCAAUAAAAUGAAGGAAAUUGAACAUGUUUAGAGUGUUUUUUUAAGAAAUCUUCUAUUUUCUUUUGUGUUUCCCUUCGACAACGAUGUUUUGUAGCUCUAUCUCUCCAAUACUAUGUAAUUUGAUAAAAGGAGAAUACAAAAAACAAUGUUAUUUUUAACCGAAAUUCUUGUUAUCCGAAACAGCCUCCCCCUCAAUUAUUUCGAUUAACGGAGGUUUUACUGUAAAUGGCUAAUGUUGAUAAUAUAUUAUUUUUCUUGGAUUGCAGUUUGUUAAUAAAUUUAUAAAUAUGUACAUACAUGA